AUUGGAACACUGGUUCUCAUACAAUCACCAAAGUUAAGCAAUGUUAAGCCUGGUCGGUACCUAGAUGGAUGACUACUUGGGAAUACCAGGUGUUGUAAG